rnacentral:rRNA from 1 species
UACGAGGGGGCGAGCGUUGUUCGGAAUUAUUGGGCGUAAAGGGUGCGUAGGCGGUUUGGUAAGUCUGAUGUGAAAUCUAUGGGCUCAACUCAUAGUCUGCAUCGGAAACUGCCGGGCUUGAGUGUGGGAGAGGUGAGUGGAAUUCCUGGUGUAGCGGUGAAAUGCGUAGAUAUCAGGAGGAACACCUGUGGCGAAAGCGGCUCACUGGACCAUAACUGACGCUGAGACGCGAAAGCGUGGGGAGCGAACAGG